rnacentral:rRNA from 1 species
GACGAACGCUGGCGGCGUGCUUAACACAUGCAAGUCGAACGGAAAGGCCUCUUUCGGGGGGUACUCGAGUGGCGAACGGGUGAGUAACACGUGAGUAACCUGCCCUUGACUUUGGGAUAACUUCAGGAAACUGGGGCUAAUACCGGAUAGGAGCUCCUGCUGCAUGGUGGGGGUUGGAAAGUUUCGGCGGUUGGGGAUGGACUCGCGGCUUAUCAGCUUGUUGGUGGGGUAGUGGCUUACCAAGGCUUUGACGGGUAGCCGGCCUGAGAGGGUGACCGGCCACAUUGGGACUGAGAUACGGCCCAGACUCCGACGGGAGGAAGCAGUGGGGAAUAUUGCACAAUGGGUGGAAGCCUGAUGCAGCAACGCCGUGGGCGGGAUGACGGCCUUCGGGUUGUAAACCGCUUUCGCUCAUGACGAAGCUUUGUGUGACGGUAGUGGGUAAAGAAGCACCGGCUAACUACGUG